AGUGAACGCUGGCGGUAGGCCUAACACAUGCAAGUCGAACGGCAGCACAGUAAGAGCUUGCUCUUACGGGUGGCGAGUGGCGGACGGGUGAGGAAUACAUCGGAAUCUACUUUUUCGUGGGGGAUAACGUAGGGAAACUUACGCUAAUACCGCAUACGACCUACGGGUGAAAGCAGGGGAUCUUCGGACCUUGCGCGAUUGAAUGAGCCGAUGUCGGAUUAGCUAGUUGGCGGGGUAAAGGCCCACCAAGGCGACGAUCCGUAGCUGGUCUGAGAGGAUGAUCAGCGACACUGGAGCGGAGACACGGUCCAGAGUCCUACGGGAGGCAGCAGUGGGGAAUAUUGGACAAUGGGCGCAAGCCUGAUCCAGCCAGACCGCGUGGGUGAAGAAGGCCUUCGGGUUGUAAAGCCCUUUUGUUGGGAAAGAAAAGCAGCAGGUUAAUACCCCGCUGUUCUGACGGUACCCAAAGAAUAAGCACCGGCUAACUUCGUG
rnacentral:rRNA from 1 species